GUGGGGAAUAUUGGGCAAUGGGCGCAAGCCUGACCCAGCAACGCCGCGUGAAGGAAGAAGGCUUUCGGGUUGUAAACUUCUUUUACCAGGGACGAAACAAAUGACGGUACCUGGUGAAUAAGCCACGGCUAACUACGUGCCAGCAGCCGCGGUAAUACGUAGGUGGCGAGCGUUAUCCGGAUUUAUUGGGUGUAAAGGGCGUGUAGGCGGGACAGCAAGUCAGAUGUGAAAACCAGAGGCUCAACCUCUGGCCUGCAUUUGAAACUGUUGUUCUUGAGUGUCGGAGAGGUAAUCGGAAUUCCGUGUGUAGCGGUGAAAUGCGUAGAUAUACGGAGGAACACCAGUGGCGAAGGCGGAUUACUGGACUGUAACUGACGUUGAGGCUCGAAAGCGUGGGGAGCAAACAGGAUUAGAAACCCGAGUAGUCC
rnacentral:rRNA from 1 species